rnacentral:rRNA from 1 species
UACGGGGGGGGCAAGCGUUGUUCGGAAUUACUGGGCGUAAAGGGCUCGUAGGCGGCCCACUAAGUCAGACGUGAAAUCCCUCGGCUUAACCGGGGAACUGCGUCUGAUACUGGAUGGCUUGAGUGUGGGAGAGGGAUGCGGAAUUCCAGGUGUAGCGGUGAAAUGCGUAGAUAUCUGGAGGAACACCGGUGGCGAAGGCGGCAUCCUGGACCAUUACUGACGCUGAGUGAGCGAAAGCCAGGGGAGCAAACGGG